rnacentral:lncRNA from 1 species
CUCCAGGGCACUGAAUUGAGAAGGUGCCGAGAGCAUUUGUAUUGCAGUUCUUCUGAAGCAUCGAAGAAAUAGAGUUUAGCACUUUUCUCUGCCCAUCCUACCCAUACCCCCAGAUGAAGACCAAGGAAGGGUCAUGCACCUGCAACCAUGUGAUGUUGGCCAUAUGCUACAUUCCUUAGAAGAAAACCCUUUUGGGAAGAUUAAAAACUGUCUAGGGGAGCAAGAAAGCUGCCCAAGUGAUAUCUAUGAAGUUCCCUGUCCUUCAGUUUCUCCAUAUAUGAGCAUAGCAGCAUAGCACUUUAUUCUCUCUCAGAAGAUGAGGCAAAAAGGACUUUGCACCAGGAUGCUGACAUCCAGAGGUUCAUACUUUCUUUCCUGGCACUCUUCAUCCCUGCUUCCUGGCUUUUUGCUGGCUUAAUCUCUUUGAUGUGCAACUAUCUGUGGGUGCUGCCACUAUAUCCAGAGUCUGUUGCCAUGGAACCUCCUUUGCAGAGAUCUCCUGCCUACCCCACCUCUAACUCUAUGUAAGUGAGGGUUGAACCACUCCCUUUCCUGGUGCAAGUGCAUCCCCAUUUCAUUCCCAUUUGGUCUUCUACUUCUCUUACUUGAUUUUCAAAAUCCUUUUUGAGCUCUUCUACAGCCCUAGACCAAUUUAUAUAUUUCUUGGAGGCUUUGGAUGGGAGCUUUGACUUUGUUGUCUUCUUCUGAGUGUAUGUUUUGAUCUUCCUUGUCACCGAAGUAAAUUUCUAUAGUCAGAGUUUUUUGCCCACUGUUUGCUCAUUUCCCCAGCCUAUUCCUUGACUUUUUAACUCUUUGUGAAAGAGUUAAACUCUGCUUCCAGUGUGGAG